GGAUUGUGGCUCAGUGGUAGAACACUUGCCUGGCAUGUAUGAGACACUGGGUUCAAUUCUCAGCACCG
rnacentral:tRNA from 1 species